GGAGGGCCACUGGUCCUGCCACAUUGGACUCAGCUGUCAGCUGCAGAAGCCCACAAACACUGGGCAUGUUACCUAAGCAGAACCCUGCAAAGUUCCAAGCCAGGCUCAUGACUCAGUGGGGGAAGCAGUGUUUCUCCCUGAAUCAGCCCCAGCCAGGCCACAUCUGAGGCUUAGCCCAGCCAAGAGUCCAGCCACUGCCCAGCUGCCUGUGGACACACGGGCCCUGUGCUGUCUCAGCUGAGAGGUCCCCAUCUACUGACUCACUCGCACCUGGGGCUUCUUGGCUGGUCAUCUGGAAAGGUACAAACUGAAGUUUUCUUUAUCCAAGGCAAUCUUUUAGAAGUCACCCUACGUUUCUUCAAAGUGUCUGGACGCAGUGUGGAGCGUGGUUUAUUUCGUCCAUGUUGCGGCAGCCUGUGUUGGAACUCGCUGAGGUUUGAAGCCUGUCAUCAACAUACAGACUGACAUGAACUUUCAAUGGGAGUCACAGAGGGCUGUACGGGCAAACAGGAGAAAUGACAGGGUACCAAAGACCGCCCUGUCAGCUGAAGGGCACCCUGGAUGCCUGUCUCUGAGCCCUCACACUCCUGUAACCUGUGAAGAGUGGGCAAGCAGAACAGGCACGUGAUGGGUCAUGCAUCUUCCUGACACACUGUGAAGCAGGAAGAAACAGGAACAGUAGCUCUGUGUUACACGUGAGGAGCGAGAAGCACCAACAUGGGAUGUGUGCUCUGUUUCGGAUGAUUGACCAGCAAGCCCCAAGGAUCUGCCUGUCUCCACCACCCCUCGACCUCCUAGCAUUGGAACUGCAGACAGGAGCUGACACACCCAGGCUUUCACAUGGAUGCUAAGAAUGAUCUAACUCAGGUCUCAGGCUUCCACUGCAAGUGUUGCACCCACUGAGCCAUCCAUCCCGCCCCCUCUACUCUUCGGAAGUUUCCAACCCUAAUAUGGUUUCCGACAAUUGUGUCCAACAAUAAAUAUGUUUUGCUUUAGGGAG
rnacentral:lncRNA from 1 species